rnacentral:rRNA from 1 species
UACGUAGGGAGCGAGCGUUAUCCGGAUUUAUUGGGUGUAAAGGGUGCGUAGACGGGAAGGCAAGUUGGUUGUGAAAUCCCCAGGCUUAACUUGGGAACUGCAACCAAAACUAUCUUUCUUGAGUGUCGGAGAGGAAAGUGGAAUUCCUAGUGUAGCGGUGAAAUGCGUAGAUAUUAGGAGGAACACCAGUGGCGAAGGCGACUUUCUGGACGAUAACUGACGUUGAGGCACGAAAGUGUGGGGAG